CACUCCCAGUUCGGAUUGCAGGCUGCAACCCGCCUGCAUGAAGUCGGAAUCGCUAGUAAUCGCAGGUCAGCAUACUGCGGUGAAUACGUUCCCGGGCCUUGUACACACCGCCCGUCACACCACGAAAGUUGGUAACACCCGAAGCCGGCGAUCCGACGCGCAAGCGAGGAAACCGUCGAAGGUGGGAUCGAUGAUUGGGGCGAAGUCGUAACAAGGUAUC
rnacentral:rRNA from 1 species